rnacentral:lncRNA from 1 species
GCUGGGAUUACAGGCGUGAGCCACCGCGCCCAGCCAGCUUUAAUGUUUUUAAAAAGCCCCUUUUAAAUUUCCAGUUAAACUUUCAAAUACUUUGCUUAAUUCUCUAAGAGAAAUGGAUACAUCAGGAAGAUGUACCAUAUUCUGUCCUGGGCUUCCCAUCUCCAGCCCGAGUGGAGAUGCCACCUGCUUUAAGAACCAAAGGUCUAAAGGUACCAAAGGAGGUCUCUGUGGUUGUGUAAUUAAAUCCAAGGACCUGGGCACCAGGAAAGAAAAUGCUGAGCACGGCAUGAGCAAGGGGGUUUUGCAAGGCAAGCUGGAGUCAUUUGGGGUUGCUUUGGGAGGUGAAGGAAGGCACUAGAAGAUCUGAGGAAGAGGUAGCCAAAGUUCUGAAUAUAUAAAAGUUGCAGCACCCCCAUCUCCACUGUGGCUUUGGCUGCCAGCCAGAGCUGCCGUUUUAUUGACAAUUUAUUGGAGUGCUUCUCCCAUUGAGCUUUCAUGAUGGUAUUCAUGUUGCACUCUGCUUGAGUCUCAGAUAAAAGGUCCUUCAUCUACACUCCCCAAGACCAUUAUCACUGCUUAUUAUAAUGCCAUUCAGAUGAAAAGCCCCACAGCACUACAAAGAAGAUCUAGACUUAUAAUAAAAUCAAUACUUUCGUUUCCUUACAAGACAAUUAAAGGGGGAGAAAUAGGCGGGUCUACAGACUGUUACUCCUGAGACUCUCCAGAGGAAGGACGCAAGGCUAGGUGGCAGCUGUCUGUGGGGAGCUUCUGUCUCAUUUCAUCUGGGCUUGGGAUGAAUGGAAAGGCUCGUGCAUCUGAUUGAUGAGCACUAGCUUGUAGAUGACAGCAUAGGCCUUCUGCUUCCUAACUCUUGUCAGCCUGCUCCAAGCACUGGCUUUCCAGCAAGCAGCUAUUUCCUCAGCCCUUUCUUCUUCCCCAGUCAGGCAGGCUUUAACCUAAGCCCAAACUAAAUGCCAGCAGUAUUCUCCAAGCUCUUGAUUCCUAUCUACUGAUUGGCUGGCAUAGCCUCAUGGAGACUGUAGUCAAAGAAGAGUGUUUAGGCUCUAAGUAUGAGAAGAUUCAAGGAUUGUAUUGACAAGAGAGCAAACAUAGAAUUUUUGUACAAUGCAGAGAGAUCAGAGAAAUGGAAAGAGACGGAGACCAGGAGAGACAACAAGAAAAAGAAGAGACAAGGAAAAAAGUUGGGAGGAAUCCUCAGCAUCAUGCAGCAAAUCAGACAAAGUUAGCCCAGCUUCCGAGGGGCUAACCUGGAAAAUGCAAAGCUGAGAAGAAGCCAAGACAAAAUAAGCCAAUAGACUGAGGAGUGGCCCACCGUGCUGAGUGUCCUGCAAGGCGUAAAUGGAGUUGACUCAUAAAAGAUCUAUGGACACAGGACUACAGCUUCUGAGGCCUCUGAAAGAAGUGACAUUGUUCCAAGCUGUCCAGACCGAAGCAUCACCUCUGUGAUCAAGCUUGAGAUUGUUUGUGGCUGAGAAAUAUACUGCCAUCUACACACAGGCAGUGUAAAGUCUAAAAGGAGCGACACUGCCUGUUCCUGAAGGAAUAAGAAGUGGGAAGAGAAGAAAGGAGAAAUGAAGCAGGGAGAGUCAGUCCUGCACUGGCUGCAGGUCAUGGCCAGUCAGCAGCCACACAGAAGAUGUAGGAGAGAACAAGAAACCCCUGUUAUCUUCUGGUUACUCCUAGAUAUUCCUUUUUCUACCUGCUGGUUGCCCUGCAGAAUGUGAAAUGGCACAAGAAUUCAAGAUGGGGACCACAGACAGACUAGCUGGCUAUGGAGCAUGAUUUCUGCUAUGAAUUAUCAGCACUCACAAAUUAAUCAAGCUGCAGCACAGAAACAUAUCCUUAUUAAGGCAACAGUUUCACAGGAAAUUGCUUCAAGAAAGGAAAAUUUGGUACAAAAUUUAAGGCCAAGUCCCAGCUCUGCCACUCGGUACCCACAUGGCUUCUGGCAAGUCACACCAGCACCCCAAGCCUCAGGGUCCCCACCUGUGGAGGAGAUUCUAUCCCUGCCCGCCUGCUUCACAAGUUGCUUACCAGGUGGAUGAUGCAUUCUAGCACAUGUUGUAAACUGUUAAUGCUAAACCACUGGAGAGCGGAUAGUUUUUCAGGAUCUUGAGCUUAAUGCCCUUUGUUCUCUUCUGCUAUAACUACUGGGUUGGGGUCUGGGUCAAUGACAUCCGAUGCCACAUGAGACAGAAGCAGCCAACUUGGCAUUGUCCCAUCCCCAUCCAACCCCAACUCUCACUUGGCUCCUUCCCAUCCCUGUCCAACCCCAACUCACUUGGUCCUGAAGUCAUCUGCAGCCAAUUUGGCAUUGUCUAUUUGCACAACCAGCCUAUUGUUCUCCGAUUUGGUGCACAGAAUCUGGGGUAAGAAAGUAGGCUCAGUAAGUGACUUACUGAUCCCAGAGACACCUAUAGCCUCAGGUGAGAGGAAGUUUUAUUGGCUGAAGUUGAACCUACAGCAUCCGCCUGGACAACACAAACUCCCAAACGUGCAAGAGAUGCUUUUGUGGUGUGGGAAGGAAGAUGUGCAAGAGACUUCUUGGAAAAGGAUGAAGACAUAGAGUCAAAGGAACCAGGAGAUGGAAGACAGUAGCAAACUGAACAUAUAACAAAGACUUGCUUUCAUUUUGCCAGAUAUGAUGCUUAGCCCAAUAUAAAUAAGAAGAUCUGGCCGGACGCAGUGGCUCAUGCCUGUAAUCCCCGCACUUUGGGAGACCAAGGCAGAUGGAUCACCUGAGGUCAGGAGUUCAAGACCAGCCUGGGCAACAUGGUGAAACACCAUCUCUACUAAAAAUAUAAAAGUUAGCUAGGAGUGGUGGCGCACACUUGUAAUCCCAGCUACUCAGGAAGCUGAGACAUGAGAAUCACUUGAACCUGGGAGGCAGAGUUUGCAGUGAGCUGAGAUUGCACCACUGCACUCCAGCCUGGGUGACAGAGCGAGACUUUGUCUCAAAAAAAAAAAAAAAAAAACUAGGCCACAGAACAGAGGACUGGCUAUGAAUGUUUUAGAUAAAGUAGGAUCUGUUCUAAAGAAGAUCUUUCCUCUGGUUGUCCAACCUCCCCACAGGUCUUCUCUGAAUCUAGCCAGGUUUCUGUAACCCCUAUUUUGACAUUCCUUGUCUUCUUGUCUCCAAAACUAAGAUGUAGGCUCUUCAGAAGCUUUAACUGGAUAAUCAAAGGUGACAAUAGAUAUGCAUAAGAGGUUGAUGCUGUUGUGUGGAUAGACACUGCCUUGGCAAGGAUGUUAGGAAAUAUUCCUUUUGCCCUGUUUACUGCACCAGAAGUUUCAGUAUACUGCAACUUUCAUAAACUCAGCACGGUUUUUGCAUGGUUUUCAUGAAAAUAGCAUGAUUUUUGUGACUACGAUUUAGGAAUUUUAUGUGCUGAAGUUAAGUAAGCAUGAACUCAGAAUCCUAGAGUGAUAAAUUCUACAUCUCAUCCUUUACAAAUUCCCAUUCACCUUCACUCAAGAGAUUCUCUUCCCACAUUAAAAGAAAAAAAAAAUCCACUGCUGACCCAGGGUCAGUAAUCUUUUUUUGUAAAGGGUCAGAUAGUAAAUACUUUAGGCUUUGCAGACCCUACAGUCUCCAUUACAAUGACUGAACUCUGCCACUGUAGUACAAAAGCAGCUGCAGACAACAUACAAAUGCAUGAGCAUGGCCAUGAACCAAUAAAACUUUAUUUGCAAAAGCAGGUGGUGGGCCGGAUUUGGCCGACAGGCAGUAAGCAGAUUCCUGACCCCUGAUCUGGUGCACCGCAAACCUCACCUUCUGCUGGAGCUCCUGGAUGGUGCAG